rnacentral:rRNA from 1 species
UUUCUUUGCUGGCGACCGGCGCACGGGUGAGUAACACGUAUCCAACCUGCCCUUUACUCGGGGAUAGCCUUUCGAAAGAAAGAUUAAUACCCGAUAGUAUAAUGAUUCCGCAUGGUUUCAUUAUUAAAGGAUUCCGGUAAAGGAUGGGGAUGCGUUCCAUUAGGUUGUUGGUGAGGUAACGGCUCACCAAGCCUUCGAUGGAUAGGGGCUCUGAGAGGAAGGUCCCCCACAUUGGAACUGAGACACGGUCCAA